rnacentral:rRNA from 1 species
CCUACGGGCGGCAGCAGUGAGGAAUAUUGGUCAAUGGACGAGAGUCUGAACCAGCCAAGUAGCGUGAAGGAUGACUGCCCUAUGGGUUGUAAACUUCUUUUAUAUGGGAAUAAAACGUUCCACGUGUGGGAUUUUGUAUGUACCAUAUGAAUAAGGAUCGGCUAACUCCGUGCCAGCAGCCGCGGUAAUACGGAGGAUCCGAGCGUUAUCCGGAUUUAUUGGGUUUAAAGGGAGCGUAGGUGGAUUGUUAAGUCAGUUGUGAAAGUUUGCGGCUCAACCGUAAAAUUGCAGUUGAAACUGGCAGUCUUGAGUACAGUAGAGGUGGGCGGAAGUCGUGGUGUAGCGGUGAAAUGCUUAGAUAUCACGAAGAACUCCGAUUGCGAAGGCAGUUCACUGGACUGCAACUGACACUGAGGCUCGAAAGUGUGGGUAUCAAACAGGAUUAGAUACCCCGGUAGUC